CCUACGUGUGGCAGCAGUGGGGAAUAUUGCACAAUGGGGGAAACCCUGAUGCAGCGACGCCGCGUGAGUGAAGAAGUAUUUCGGUACGUAAAGCUCUAUCAGCAGGGAAGAAAAAAAGUCCUUUGGACUUUGGACGGUACCUGACUAAGAAGCCCCGGCUAACUACGUGCCAGCAGCCGCGGUAAUACGUAGGGGGCAAGCGUUAUCCGGAUUUACUGGGUGUAAAGGGAGCGUAGACGGCGUCGCAAGUCUGAAGUGAAAGCCCGUGGCUCAACCGCGGACCCGCUUUGGAAACUGCGAGGCUGGAGUGCUGGAGAGGUAAGCGGAAUUCCUGGUGUAGCGGUGAAAUGCGUAGAUAUCAGGAGGAACACCGGUGGCGAAGGCGGCUUACUGGACAGUGACUGACGUUGAGGCUCGAAAGCGUGGGGAGCGAACAGGAUUAGAUACCCGUGUAGUC
rnacentral:rRNA from 1 species